UACGUAGGUGGCAAGCGUUGUCCGGAAUUAUUGGGCGUAAAGCGCGCGCAGGCGGUCCUUUAAGUCUGAUGUGAAAGCCCACGGCUCAACCGUGGAGGGUCAUUGGAAACUGGGGAACUUGAGUGCAGAAGAGGAGAGCGGAAUUCCACGUGUAGCGGUGAAAUGCGUAGAGAUUUGGAGGAACACCAGUGGCGAAGGCGACUGUCUGGUCUGUAACUGACACUGAGGCGCGAAAGCGUGGGGAGCAAACAGGAUUAGAUACCCU
rnacentral:rRNA from 1 species